CCCUUAGAUGUCCUGGGCUGCACGCGCGCUACACUGACGGAUUCAACGAGCUUACAACCUUGGCCGAAAGGUCUGGGUAAUCUCCAAAAUCCGUCGUGAUGGGGAUAGAUUAUUGCAAUUAUUAAUCUUCAACGAGGAAUGCCUAGUAAGCGCAAGUCAUCAGCUUGCGUUGAUUACGUCCCUGCCCUUUGUACACACCGCCCGUCGCUCCUACCGAUUGAAUGGUCCGGUGAAGCGUUUGGACUAUGGUUUUCUGAUGGUCCGCCGUUGGAUUACCGUGGGAAGUUCGUUAAACCUUAUCAUUUAGAGGAAGGAGAAGUCGUAACA
rnacentral:rRNA from 1 species